GCCAUGCCGCGUGUGUGAAGAAGGCCUUCGGGUUGUAAAGCACUUUCAGUCNGGAGGAAANGUUAGUAGUUAAUACCUGCUAGCUGUGACGUUACNGACAGAAGAARCACCGGCUAACUCCGUGCCAGCAGCCGCGGUAAUACGGAGGGUGCGAGCGUUAAUCGGAAUUACUGGGCGUAAAGCGYACGCAGGCGGUUUGUUAAGCKAGAUGUGAAAGCCCCGGGCUCAACCUGGGAACUGCAUUUCGAACUGGCARACUAGAGUGUGRUAGAGGGUGGUNGAAUUUCAGGUGUAGCGGUGAAAUGCGUAGAKAUCUGAAGGAAUACCGAUGGCGAAGGCANCCACCUGGGUCAACACUGACGCUCAUGUNCGAAAGCGUGGGGAGCAAACAGGAUUAGAUACCCUGGUAGUCCACGCCGUAAACGAUGUCUACUAGAAGCUCGGAGCCUCGGUUCUGUUUUUCAAAGCUAACGCAUUAAGUAGACCGCCUGGGGAGUACGGCCGCAAGGUUAAAACUCAAAUGAAUUGACGGGGGCCCGCACAAGCGGUGGAGCAUGUGGUUUAAUUCGAUGCAACGCGC
rnacentral:rRNA from 1 species